GACGAUAAGACCCUAAAAGCUUUAUUUAUAGAAAGAGUUUAGAAGAGGAGGGGUUUUGUUUUACUGGGGUAGUGAUUGUGGAUAAACCAUGAUUUUUUCUGCUGAGGGGAAAGGUCCUUUUUAUAUGGAAAACUUGAGAAAGUUACUUUAGGGUUAACAGCGUUAUUUCUUCUGAGAGAUCUUAUUUAUGGGGAAGUUUACGACCUCGAUGUUGAAUUAAAUUAUCUUAGUGGAGCAUAAGCUACAUAGAGUGGGUUUGUUCAACCCUAAAAAUUUUACAUGAUCUGAGU
rnacentral:rRNA from 1 species